UACGGAGGGUGCAAGCGUUAUCCGGAUUCACUGGGUUUAAAGGGUGCGUAGGUGGGUCUGUAAGUCAGUGGUGAAAUCUUCGAGCUUAACUCGGAAACUGCCAUUGAUACUAUAGAUCUUGAAUUUUCUGGAGGUAAGCGGAAUAUGUCAUGUAGCGGUGAAAUGCUUAGAUAUGACAUAGAACACCAAUUGCGAAGGCAGCUUACUACGGGAACAUUGACACUGAGGCACGAAGCGUGGGGAUCAAACAGG
rnacentral:rRNA from 1 species